AUAAUCUUUUCCAUGGAUUUGGACAAAAUUGGAUUCUAGCAUGUUGUAUACAUCAAAACCAAUACAGGGUCUGUAAAUAAGAACUACAAUCCCUUACACAAGGAAAGACCAGAAAACAACAGAACACCUAUAGGCAAAAAAGGGCAAAUUAUAAGAUCAGACCACUUAAAAUUUGAGUUAGAGACCCUGUACAAAAGUAUGGAGAAUUUUAUAACCAUUUGAGAUGAAUGAUCAAUCCGAAUUGUAGGCAGUAGGGGUUGGAGCAGGUGUAGUGGAGGUUGAGCUAAACCCUGGACCACUUUCUUUCAUCUUGCUGGGCAUUUUCUUGGCUACCGACGCCAUUGAAGUAACUGAUUUGAAGAAACCCUUGAUGAUUCUCAUCUUAACUUGGCCUCUCCUAGGCGGGAGACUUUGUUGUUGCUUCUUGGUGGGGCUUGUAACAGUGAAUUCCAUUUCUGCCAAAAUAUGGGAGUUGCAAAGCAGAGGAGUAUACCAAGGAAAAAACAAGAGUAUGAAACCGUUUAAUCUCUCUGCUUCUCUUACAAGGCAGAAAGAAAAAAUGGAAGAGGGUUUGUUUUGUUUUAAGGACAAAAAUGAUUAAGGGAGUUUUGGGUGUUUGAAGAGUGUUGAGAACUGAGACAAGUGUUUUGAGUGAAGCAGGGAUUUAUGAAGAGAGCAAAGCCUUUCUAAAGGAUAAAAAAUUUGGUUUCUU
rnacentral:lncRNA from 1 species